AUUGAACGCUGGCGGCAUGCUUUACACAUGCAAGUCGAACGGCAGCAUAGGUGCUUGCACCUGAUGGCGAGUGGCGAACGGGUGAGUAAUACAUCGGAACAUGUCCGGAAGUGGGGGAUAACGUAGCGAAGGUUACGCUAAUACCGCAUAUGCCCUGAGGGGGAAAGGGGGGGAUCGCAAGACCUCUCGCUUUGGGAGUGGGCGAUAUCGGAUUAGCUAGUAGGUGAGGUAAAGGCUCACCUAGGCGACGAUCCGUAGCUGGUCUGAGAGGACGACCAGCCACACUGGGACUGAGACACGGCCCAGACUCCUACGGGAGGCAGCAGUGGGGAAUUUUGGACAAUGGGCGCAAGCCUGAUCCGGCCAUGCCGCGUGAGUGAAGAAGGCCUUCGGGUUGUAAAGCUCUUUCAGCCGGAAAGAAAUCGUACUUAUUAAUACUAAGUGCGGAUGACGGUACCGGAAGAAGAAGCACCGGCUAACUACGUGCCAGCCGCCGCUGUAA
rnacentral:rRNA from 1 species